GGUAAGGUAUGGAACCUGCGAAUUUCUUCUCAAAUGAAAAACCAUUUUGUUUUGAUUUACACGUCCUUUACCUUGUUUAUCUGACGUUUUGAUUAAUCUCUUGAUCUACAGCUGGGAGAAGUAGCAAAAGACUAGACCAUAAUGUGGCUCAGUCUGUAAUGUUCCAUAGCAAUCACUCUAAUAAAUUAGAACAAUCUCAACAACCUAGGGAGCCAUUACCAGCAGUAGAGUACCCACCCUUUGCUUCUAUAGGGAAUAAAAGAUCAUUCCUUCGGCAGCACAGAAUUUCCAAUGCAAACUGAUCAUGCUACAUAGAUGGUAUAAAAACGACCGAUUUGGCGACGAUACCAAUAAUGGGCUAGCCAAAUUAUAUACACUUGGGCAAUGGCAGCCAUCUAACUGUCAAAAUAUAAGCCAGAAAAAAAGCCAUGGACGCUGGUAAAAUGUUUCCUCGUCAUGCAAGACGAUGAAAAUCUGGUAGGCUAAAGAGCGACAAACAACACAAGUCCGUGUAACGUGACGUACUCAGCUUUUUACCCCGUGAUCGGUCAACACGGUGUAUUCUCAUGACAACUGAAACCAUCUUUCAAAGUCUGUAGGAAAAUCAGAUAAAUUUUUAACAUAUUGUGAAAGUAAGAGG